UUAGCUCUAUGGAUGUGUAUUUACCUGCAACUUCUGCCAGCUCUAACUUGGUUAUAUAGCAGUUCAAUUCAGUCAAUCUGUUGGAACUAGUUUGUCUAUUACUUGUAUCCGAUUUCAUAUCCUGCCAUAUGCCAUUGUCAACUUUCUUAGGUACAUAAUUGUUAUGUCUUGCAAUCUGGUAUUGAUGAUUGUCAAUGUAUUCAUUUAUACCUUUCUAGUGUACCUUGUAUGUGACCCAGCUGAUCUGUAUAUCAAUGCUCUGUUUCCAAUAGAUGUAUGCUGAUGCCUGAUGGCUGAUUCCUUAAAACUUCACUGUUGCAGCAGUAGCAUUUUUCCUUAGUGCAUAAAUGUAUGAGCGAUCACUUAUGCUUGAAACCUUGCUCUCUUUCCCAAGAACCAUCAUGAUCUGUAUCACUACUGGGACAGGAGAGGAAAGACUGUUGGUGUCUCCAAGAAGCGGUAAGCUGCUUCACAAAGAUCCCCGCAUAGCUUCACUACUACUGUGUUGGUCCAUUUCCAGAAUCUUAAGGAGUGUUCUUGUUUAGACGAUUACCUUGGAUGAUGCUUUUGCUUAAGGAGAGGCUCAAGAAGAUCAGGUAUAAACUCCUCCCCCUCUUGUUUGUUUUUGCUUCAUACUGUUUGGUGGUUGAUACAUUACUAUGCAAGUUCUAUGGUAUGUGAGUUCUUUCUGUCGCUGCAAGCAUUGACACAAUAUGUCAUGUGCAGGGAGCUCCACAUCCGAGUUUCAGCCAUCCUCUACAGCAUGGAG
rnacentral:lncRNA from 1 species